CCCUUAGAUGUCCUGGGCCGCACGCGCGUUACACUGAUGCAUUCAACGAGCUUAUAACCUUGGCCGAGAGGCCUGGGCAAUCUUGUUAACGUGCAUCGUGAUAGGGAUAGAUUAUUGAAAUUAUUAAUCUUGAACGAGGAAUUCCUAGUAAACGCAAGUCAUCAACUUGCAUUGAUUACGUCCCUGCCCUUUGUACACACCGCCCGUCGCACCUACCGAUUGAACGUUCCGGUGAGACCUUAGGAUUUUGGUCUAUUUCAUUUAUUUGAGAUUUACUAGAAGAAUUUGAGCAAACCUUAACGUUUAGAGGAAGGUGAAGUCGUAACA
rnacentral:rRNA from 1 species